rnacentral:rRNA from 1 species
UACCUGCAGCUCGAGUGGUGAUCGCUAUUAUUGGGCCUAAAACGUUCGUAGCCGGUCUAGUAAAUGCCUGGGUAAAUCGUGCCGCUUAACGGUACGAAUUCCGGGUAGACUGCUAGACUUGAGACUGGGAGAGGCUAGAUGUACUCCUGGGGUAGAGGUGAAAUUCUGUAAUCCUGGGGGGACCACCAGUGGCGAAGGCGUCUAGCUAGAACGGGUCUGACGGUGAGGAACGAAGCCCUGGGGCGCAAACCGGAUUAGAUACCCGGGUAGUCCAGGGUGUAAACGCUGCUUGCUUGAUGUUAGUUGGGCUCCGAGCCCAAUUAGUGUCGGAGAGAAGUUGUUAAGCAAGCUGCCUGGGAAGUACGAUCGCAAGAUUGAAACUUAAAGGAAUUGGGCGGGGGAGCACAGCAACGGGUGGAGCGUGCGGUUU